ensembl:lncRNA
CAUUGACUUGUCCCACCUUUCUCAAUACCAUUUACCGUACAUAGUCCACUAUAUUAUUAGCAUUAUUCAAUGAUUUUUGUACGUUUAUGAAACAUCACCCCCAACACAUUCUGCCAAAAAAAUGCAAUAGUACUCUACGGUUGAGCUGAAGUUCUACUUGACCAUUAUGACCUGUACUUUUUCCUUCCUUAUACUUCUUCCCACCUUGGGGCCCCAUUCAGGUUAACUUUUAGCCCGUCUUACUUGCUUAUUUGUAUACAUUGUAGGCCUAUACUUGUGCAUGCUUAAGUCCAUGUUAUUCCUUUUUUGAUGAUGAAUAAAUACCCUUUUUCUUUCUUUCUACAUUAAGGAUGCCUUUUCAUCUAAUUGAAUUUCAAGCAAGCGAGGACAUUGCUGUAGUGCCAGUUGACUGGUAUGAUGACGGGAUGGUGUACUGGCCCAGCUUUAAGAGCACUGAACGUGUGAAACGGGCAGCUGCAAACGAGGAGAAGCAAGAUAUGACGUAAAGGUUGUCAGAACUUGUGACAACUACAAAGACGCCAUCAGGCAAAUGAAUCAAUAUGAGACCGACUGCAACACCUCUGAGCUACAGUCUGAGGCAGAGCAGGAGGGUGAGCUGCCAGAGAAACGAGUCAGGAAGCCAAUCCAUCGUUUUGGGGACUCUGAUGAGAGUGAAGAAGAAAAUUGUGACUUAGCUUCUCUGAGGUCGCCACGACCUUCCAACUCGGUUGGUGUAUCAGUUGGAGCCUCAAGCCCAAACCAAUUACACUGGCAGACUCCACCAUCUCGCCGAGUGCCAAGCAGCAGAGUCACUACUCCUCAACCUGGAGGAAACUGUCUAGCACCUGACCAUGGUUUCAGACCCCAACACCCUUCACCACCUCAACUCCCUGCACCUGCAUUUAACAUGAGGGGUGUUUCUCAAGGAACGGCAGUCCCUCCGCAACUCCCUCCACCCCCCGCACCAGCCCUCAACAUGAGGCGAACAAAGGAGCCCUCUUCAAGCCUGGCCUAUAGACCAACAUGGCGAGGGGGAAUAAUGACCGAUACCAUUCCCUGCUCUGCGGCUGAGGUCCACAUCCUUAGCCUGCUGGAGACCAUUAAACAGCAACAAGACCAGCUUGUGGCAAAGGUGAACUACCUCAGCAGCAGGCUGAACAGCAACCCCGGGGCCAGAUGUUGAGAUGCCGGACAAUAUCCAGUUUCCCCUGGAACAAUUGGAGGCAGUGGAGGCAUUUGAAAUGUUUUUAAAGGAACCGUCAAAUGGCCCAGCUCGACAGAGAGUGAUUUCUUCUUUGGCCACCAUUGAAGGUCAGGAUGUGAAGAGGGUGACCUGGAACAUCCUGGCCAGGCUCUUCACGGAUGAGGUGCUGUGAGGAAAAACACAGUGACACUCAGCCACAGACGCAGAGGUCACCAAGCACGUAAUCAGGUGGUUCAACCUGGCAGCGGAUCGGGCAACGAGGAGACGUGUCCCGCCUCUAGCCAGACAAAUGGAAGCCUUCAUGAAUCAGGCAGAGUGAGAUGUCUCUCACUUCUGGCAGCUGCUGACCUCUUCCUCAGCCUUUUCAAGAGCUACUCUUUUUCCCUGCCUCUAUUUUGAGGAAGUUGAGGAGUUCACCUGCCCACUUUUUCUCUGCUGGCCUGGCUCUCUCCCUGGCAGGGGCAGAGGCACCUGCAGUGGAUGUAAUGUUUGCAGCAACUACCAUGGGCGGAUUAAGAGUGCUGCAUCCAUUGUGGCGUACCACUGCCUUGUGGCAGCAGUGACCUCUCCUGCCCUCCACCCCUUU